rnacentral:rRNA from 1 species
UGAAGUUUUCGGAUGGAUUUAAAACAGCUUAGUGGCGGACGGGUGAGUAACGCGUGGGUAACCUGCCUUACACAGGGGGAUAACAGUUAGAAAUGACUGCUAAUACCGCAUGACGCAUGACCGGGGCAUCCCGGGCAUGUCAAAGAUUUUAUCGCUGAAAGAUGGCCUCGCGUCUGAUUAGCUAGUUGGUGAGGUAACGGCCCACCAAGGCGACGAUCAGUAGCCGGACUGAGAGGUUGAACGGCCACAUUGGGACUGAGAUACGGCCCAAACUCC